rnacentral:tRNA from 1 species
GAGAGUUUAGUGUAAUGGCAACACGCUGAGUUCCAACCUCAGAAAUGUGGGUUCGAUUCCUACAACUCUUGCCA